UCUCUUUCUCUCUAUUUCUAUCUUCCAGCAUUUUUCGAGUUUUUACAAAUUUUAUUUUCUUAAAAAUGAUUUCUGUAGAAUAAUCAGAGUGAUGGAGUCCAUAGAAACAUAGGAUUUUCUUUCCACUCGAUGGAAACGGAAAGAGGUUUUCAAAAGAAUCAUUUUCCGCCAUUAUCUUCUCUACCACAAUCAAUUCUACCCCAAUUUCCUCUUUUGGGUAAUUUUCCACCCCAUUUCAAUCUCUACUCUAUUUUCGAAUUUUAGAAAUUUCUGGCAUUUGGGUUCUUUCUUGGACAGAAAUUCCUUCCUGGGUUUUGAAUUGCCCACCAUUUCAUAUCCAAUUUCUUUCCUGGAAUCUAUGAUUUCACCAGCUUGAAUUCAUUUUCUAGGAAAUCUUGGUCCAGUUUCUGCAUUUUUACUUUACGGGCCUUUAAUUUUAUCCCAUUUUCCCUGCAUUUCUUAUAAGUUUUUGUUCCCUUUUCUAAUUUUAAAUUUCACCCCAUUUCUCCAUUUCAGUUCUGUUGAAAAUAAAAGUAAAAAUUCCAGCAGCUUUUGCAUUUUUCUAAGAUUUUUGUCCUCAUGGGUCCUCUUUUUAAAUCUGGCACAUGUAGCAUGACCUUUUGCUGUCUUCUGUCACACCCCAAUGUAGACAACAAAAGCAUGUAGAUGUUAUAAAGACAAUCAGACACUUCUCAUAUCUGCAAAUGAAUUCAAUUUCAUACAUACUGGAAAAAUACCCACUUGUAAUAACCUUCUCUUUGAUCCAUGGCAUCUGUUCAAGGCCUUUGUUUCUACACUCAGCACCACUUCUCUACCAAAAUUUAUAUAUUUAGACAGAAAGAAACCUGUUUUGAAAGCAGUACAAUCCGCUGCAAGAACGUUGGUCCUGUCGAAUUCGAGGGGGAUAAGAAGAGGAAGCCGCAGAUUCUCAUAGCUGGUGGUGGAGUCGGCGGUUUGGUUCUGGCGCUGGCAGCGAAGAACCAAGGAUUCGGGGUUAAGGUGUUUGAGAAGAAUUUGAGUGCGGUGAGAGGUGAGGGUAGACACCGUGGCCCUAUUCAGCUUCAGAGCAAUGCAUUGGCGGUCUUGGAAGCUAUAGAUAAGGAAGCCAUGGAGAAGAUCUUCAAAGAGGGUUGUGUUACGGGCAAUCGGAUCAAUGGCCUGGCUGACGGCAUCACAGGCCAUUGGUUUGCCAAGUUUGAUCUCUCAACUCCCGCUGUGAAAAGGGGACUUCCAGUUACUCUAGUUAUUUGUAGGAUGGCACUACAAGAUAUUUUAGUUGAUGCGGUUGGGUUGGAUAUUGUAUACAACAGGUCUAAUGUUGUGGACUUCGAGGAAGAUUCUAACAAGGUCACUGUCAUCUUAGAAGAUGGACGCCGAUAUGAAGGUGAUAUUUUAGUUGGUGCAGAUGGAAUUUGGUCAAAGGUACGUGCAAAAUUAUUUGGGCGGCAAGAUGCACGGUAUUCAAACUACACGUGCUAUAGUGGAUUAGUAGACUUUGUGCCACCGUAUAUCAGCUCUAUUGGGUAUCGGGUGUUUUUAGGUUUCAAUCAGUACUUUGUUGCUUCAGAUGUUGGUGAUGGUAAGAUGCAAUGGUAUGCAUUCAAUAAGGAGCCUCCUGGAAAUAUUGAUCCUCCUUCAGGUAAAAAGAGGAGGCUACUGAAACUAUUCGGGGGUUGGUGCAGUGAAGUGGUAACUCUAAUAUCUGAAACGCCAGAGCAUAUGAUUUUAAGGAGAGAUGUUUAUGAUAGGGACAUGAUGUACACCUGGGGCAGAGGACGUGUGACGCUGUUAGGCGAUGCUGCUCAUCCGAUGCAACCUAAUCUAGGCCAGGGAGGUUGCAUGGCGAUUGAGGACUGUUAUCAGCUUGUACUAGAGCUCGAGAAAGCUGUAGACUGUACCUCUUAUGGUCUAAUGUCAGAUGAAGUGGCUUCUGCGCUUAAAAGGUUAUGUGUUAACAAACAUGGCCUUGGUGGUUGCUGGCAUAACUGGUGGAUUGAGCUUGAUGGCCCUACAGAGGGUGGGCACAGCUCGAAUUCGAGGCUCUAUUAAGGCCUACGCUGAACCCGGGUCCAGGCUUAUCUAUGCUCAUCAUGGUCCCGGUUCGGGUCUGAACUCAGGCCCAUGGUUAAAAGACUCAGUUACUUGGAUCGACUGGUUCAGCUGUGAAUCUAUUCCUGACUUGCCUGAGUCAGGGCUGAAUCAGCCCAACUUGCUCGCUUUGGGGGUGACUCAGAGGGGUGCUCGUGGUGUUGAAUCAGAUCGGGUCCCACUGAAUCCAAGUUGACUCGCACAAGUCACACCUGACUUGGGCGAGUCUUAAAACCAUGCUUUGGCCCUCAGUUCGGGCCUCCAACAAAUCGAAAGGCCAAAACAAUUAACUUGGAUGGGCUCAGGAUAAACAAGGCAUGGCCUAAACCCGCCUUACUGACUGCUCUAGAUGGAAUUAACCUGUUCACCUGAUAUGAGGAGAAAAGGAUGAUUCGUGUUAGAACAGUACAUGCAGUGGCUCGAAUGGCGUCUAAAAUGGUAACAACAUACCGACCUUACUUGGAUUUUGGGUCCGGCCCUCUAUCG